rnacentral:rRNA from 1 species
GACGAACGCUGGCGGCGUGCUUAACACAUGCAAGUCGAACGAUGAAGCUGGAGCUUGCUCCGGUGGAUUAGUGGCGAACGGGUGAGUAACACGUGAGCAAUCUGCCCUUGACUCUGGGAUAACUGCGGGAAACUGUAGCUAAUACCGGAUAUGAGAUCUGAAGGCAUCUUCGGGUUUGGAAAGAAUUUCGGUCAAGGAUGAGCUCGCGGCCUAUCAGCUAGUUGGUGAGGUAAUGGCUCACCAAGGCGACGACGGGUAGCCGGCCUGAGAGGGGGACCGGCCACACUGGAACUGAGACACGGUCCAGGCUCCUACGGGAGGCAGCAGUGGGGAAUAGUGCACAAUGGGCGAAAGCCUGAUGCAGCAACGCCGCGUGAGGGAUGAAGGCCUUCGGGUUGUAAACCUCUUUUAGCAGGGAAGAAGCGAAAGUGACGGUACCUGCAGAAAAAGCACCGGCUAACUACGUGCCAGCCGCCGCGGUAA